UCGGGGGUAGCUCAACGGCAGAGCAGCACCCUGUUAAGGUGAUGGUUGUGGGUUCGAAUCCCACCCCCCGAG
rnacentral:tRNA from 1 species